rnacentral:rRNA from 1 species
UACGUAGGGGGCAAGCGUUGUCCGGAUUUAUUGGGCGUAAAGAGCGUGUAGGCGGUUAGGUAGGUCCGUUGUGAAAACUCGAGGCUCAACCUCGAGACGCCGAUGGAAACCAUCUAACUAGAGUCCGGAAGAGGAGAAUGGAAUUCCUGGUGUAGCGGUGAAAUGCGGAUAUCAGGAAGAACACCCGUGGCUAAGGCGGUUCUCUAGUACGGUACUGACGCUGAGACGCGAAAGCGUGGGGAGCGAACAGG